rnacentral:rRNA from 1 species
AGGUAGUUGGUGGGGUAAAAGCCCACCAAGCCAACGAUCUGUAGCUGGUCUGAGAGGACGACCAGCCACACUGGGACUGAGACACGGCCCAGACUCCUACGGGAGGCAGCAGUGGGGAAUUUUGGACAAUGGGCGCAAGCCUGAUCCAGCCAUGCCGCGUGCGGGAAGAAGGCCUUCGGGUUGUAAACCGCUUUUGUCAGGGAAGAAACGCUCUGGGCUAAUACCCUGGGGUAAUGACGGUACCUGAAGAAUAAGCACCGGCUAACUACGUGCCAGCAGCCGCGGUAACACGUAGGGUGCAAGCGUUAAUCGGAAUUACUGGGCGUAAAGCAUGCGCAGGCGGUCUUGCAAGACAGAUGUGAAAUCCCCGGGCUUAACCUGGGAACUGCAUUUGUGACUGCAAGGCUAGAGUAUGGCAGAGGGGGAUGGAAUUCCGCGUAGCAGUGAAAUGCGUAGAUAUGCGGAGGAGCACCGAUGGCGAAGGCAAUCCCCUGGGCCUGUACUGACGCUCAUGCACGAAAGCGUGGGGAGCAAACAGGAUUAGAUACCCUGGUAGUCCACGCCCUAAACGAUGUCAACUGGUUGUUGGGAAGGUUCCUUCUCAGUAACGUAGCUAACGCGUGAAGUUGACCGCCUGGGGAGUACGGCCGCAAGGUUGAAACUCAAGGGAAUUGACGGGGACCCGCACAAGCGGUGGAUGAUGUGGUUUAAUUCGACGCAACGCGAAAAACCUUACCUACCCUUGACAUGUCUGGAAUUUUGCAGAGAUGCGAAAGUGCUCGAAAGAGAACCAGAACACAGGUGCUGCAUGGCCGUCGUCAGCUCGUGUCGUGAGAUGUUGGGUUAAGUCCCGCAACGAGCGCAACCCUUGUCAUUAGUUGCUACGAAAGGGCACUCUAAUGAGACUGCCGGUGACAAACCGGAGGAAGGUGGGGAUGACGUCAGGUCAUCAUGGCCCUUAUGGGUAGGGCUACACACGUCAUACAAUGGCCGGUACAGAGGGCUGCCAACCCGCGAGGGGGAGCCAAUCCCAAAAAACCGGUCGUAGUCCGGAUCGCAGUCUGCAACUCGACUGCGUGAAGUCGGAAUCGCUAGUAAUCGCGGAUCAGCUUGCCGCGGUGAAUACGUUCCCGGGUCUUGUACACACCGCCCGUCACACCAUGGGAGCGGGUUCUGCCAGAAGUAGUUAGCCUAACCGCAAGGGGGGCGAUUACCACGGCAGGGUUCGUGACUGGGGUGAAGUCGGAACAAGGUAGCCGUAUCGGAAGGUGCGGCUG